AUUGAACGCUGGCGGCAGGCUUAACACAUGUAAGUCGAGCGGAGCGAGGGUGCUUGCACCUUAGCUUAGCGGCGGACGGGCGAGUAAUGCUUAGGAAUCUGCCUAUUAGUGGGGGACAACAUUCCGAAAGGAAUGCUAAUACCGCAUACGCCCUACGGGGGAAAGCAGGGGAUCUUCGGACCUUGCGCUAAUAGAUGAGCCUAAGUCGGAUUAGCUAGUUGGUGGGGUAAAGGCCUACCAAGGCGACGAUCUGUAGCGGGUCUGAGAGGAUGAUCCGCCACACUGGGACUGAGACACGGCCCAGACUCCUGCGGGAGGCAGCAGUGGGGAAUAUUGGACAAUGGGCGGAAGCCUGAUCCAGCCAUGCCGCGUGUGUGAAGAAGGCCUUUUGGUUGUAAAGCACUUUAAGCGAGGAGGAGGCUACUUAGAUUAAUACUCUAGGAUAGUGGACGUUACUCGCAGAAUAAGCACCGGCUAACUCUGUGCCAGCCGCCGCCGUAAGAC
rnacentral:rRNA from 1 species